UAGCCAGGUGCCUCAUCUCAUGCCUGUGGAAAAACCUGUGUGAGAGGAGUGUCUGACUGUU
rnacentral:pre_miRNA from 1 species